GGGGAAAUGAUGAGAUGAAUUCCCCCAUAUGAUCGACUAUGAUUCCAUCAAAUGCUUUUUUCUCUUCAGAGUUCAAUCCAGUCAAUUAUGAUCCCC
rfam:Picea glauca, whole genome shotgun sequence.